rnacentral:rRNA from 1 species
AACGAACGCUGGCGGCAUGCCUAACACAUGCAAGUCGAACGAGACCUUCGGGUCUAGUGGCGCACGGGUGCGUAACGCGUGGGAACCUGCCUUUAGGUUCGGAAUAACUCAGAGAAAUUUGAGCUAAUACCGGAUGAUGUCUUCGGACCAAAGAUUUAUCGCCUUUAGAUGGGCCCGCGUUGGAUUAGCUAGUUGGUGGGGUAAAGGCCUACCAAGGCGACGAUCCAUAGCUGGUCUGAGAGGAUGAUCAGCCACACUGGGACUGAGACACGGCCCAGACUCCUACGGGAGGCAGCAGUGAGGAAUAUUGGACAAUGGGCGAAAGCCUGAUCCAGCAAUGCCGCGUGAGUGAUGAAGGCCUUAGGGUUGUAAAGCUCUUUUACCCGAGAUGAUAAUGACAGUAUCGGGAGAAUAAGCUCCGGCUAACUCCGUG